UCCCGCGCCUCGGCGUCGGGCCCUACAACUGGAACACGGAGUGUCUGCGGGGCGACGCCGAGGCCCCCGGCUGGGCCACCGCCUUCCCCCAGGCCCUGGGGCUCGCCGCCUCCUUCAGGUACCGGCCCGGGGGGGGCCGGCGCUCGGAGCCCUGGGGCCAAGCGGCGGGCGGCUGGCGCACGCGGGAUGGGAUGGGACAAGAUGGGAUGGGAUGAGACAGGACGGGACGGGACGGGACGAGAUGGGAUGGGACAAGAUGGGAUGGCACGGGACGGAGCAGGACAGGACGGGACGGGACGGGACGGGACGGGACGGGACGGGGCUCUCCGGCUCUCCAUCGCUCUCCGACGCUCCCCUCCCCGCAGCCCCGAGCUCGUCUACCGCGUGGCCAACGCCACGGCCACCGAAGUGCGGGCCAAGCACAACCACUUCGUCGCCACGGGCCGCUACGGGGACCACACGGGGCUCAGCUGCUUCAGCCCGGUGCUGAACAUCAUGCGGCACCCGCUGUGGGGCAGGAACCAGGAGACGUACGGGGAGGACCCGUUCCUCACCGCCGAGCUGGGCGCCAGCUUCGUGCGGGGGCUGCAGGGGCAGCACCCGCGCUACGUCAAGGCCAGCGCCGGCUGCAAGCACUUCAGCGUGCACGGGGGCCCCGAGAACAUCCCCGUCUCCAGGCUCAGCUUCGACGCCAAGGUGAGCGUGGGCAUGCCGGGGGGGACGGGGGGAGUCCCCGGCGCUGACCCUCGGUGCUCGCAGGUGCUGGAGCGCGACUGGCGCACCACCUUCCUGCCCCAGUUCCAGGCCUGCGCCCGCGCCGGCUCCUACAGCUUCAUGUGCAGCUACAACAGGUAGGAGCGGGCAGGGCUGGCGGCGGGGCGGCCCGGGGGGGCCCUUCUGCGCUCGCGGCCCCCCAGCCGGUGCCUCCUCCCCGGCAGCAUCAACGGCGUCCCUGCCUGCGCCAACAAGGAGCUGCUGACGGACAUCCUGCGGGGCGAGUGGGGCUUCGAGGGCUACGUGGUGAGCGACGAGGGCGCCGUGGAGUCCGUCAUGCUGGCGCACAACUACACGCGCAGCUUCGAGGAGACGGCGGCGGGUGAG
rnacentral:lncRNA from 1 species